rnacentral:rRNA from 1 species
UACGUAGGGUGCGAGCGUUAAUCGGAAUUACUGGGCGUAAAGAGUGCGUAGGCGGUUCGUUAAGUCAGCUGUGAAAGCCCCGGGCUCAACCUGGGAACUGCGGUUGAAACUGGCGAACUAGAAUCUGGCAGAGGGGGGUGGAAUUCCACGUGUAGCAGUGAACUGCGUAGAGAUGUGGAGGAACACCGAUGGCGAAGGCAGCCCCAUGGGCUGAGAUUGACGCUCAGGCACGAAAGCGUGGGGAGCAAACAGG